AAGUCGUAACAAGGUUUCCGUAGGUGAACCUGCGGAAGGAUCAUUACAGUAUUCUUUUGCCAGCGCUUAACUGCGCGGCGAAAAACCUUACACACAGUGUCUUUUUGAUACAGAACUCUUGCUUUGGUUUGGCCUAGAGAUAGGUUGGGCCAGAGGUUUAACAAAACACAAUUUAAUUAUUUUUAUUAGUAGUCGAAUUUUGAAUUAAUCUUCAAAACUUUCAACAACGGAUCUCUUGGUUCUC
rnacentral:misc_RNA from 1 species